UGCUCUUUGUUGAUCCUGGUGGCAGC
rnacentral:piRNA from 1 species